rnacentral:rRNA from 1 species
GAUGAACGCUGGCGGCGUGCCUAAUACAUGCAAGUCGAGCGAACAGACGCGGAGCUUGCUCCUCUGACGUUAGCGGCGGACAGGGGAUUAACACGUGGAUAACCUACCUAUAAGACUGGGUUAACUUCGGGAAACCGGAGCUACUACCGGAUAAUAUUUUGAACCGCAUGGUUCAUUGGUGAAAGACGGUUUUGCUGUCACUUAUGGAUGGAUCCGCGCCGCAUUAGCUAGUUGGUAAGGUAACGGCUUACCAAGGCAACGAUGCGUAGCCGACCUGAGAGGGUGGUCGGCCACCAUAGAGCGGAGACACGGUCCAGACUCCUACGGGAGGCAGCAGUAGGGAAUCUUCCGCAAUGGGCGAAAGCCUGAUGGAGCAACGCCGCGGGAGUGAUGAAGGUCUCCGGAUCGUAGAACUCUGUUAUUAGGGAAGAACAAAUGUGUAAGUAACUGUGCACGUCUUGACGGUACCUAAUCAGAAAGCCACGGCUAACUACGUG